AUGAGGAGAAGCCAAAUGACUUUACUUAAGGUCAGAGAGCAAAUCAGUAGCAAAACCCAGACUAGAAUGGUCCCAGGUCUCAGUUCUCUGCUCAGAUCACACCAUGCUGCCUGGACCACACUGGACAAAAGAGAUAAUUUGAUCUUUCUCAGAAAGAUUUCUGGCGUCACUGGAGGAAAAUUCUCUUUUAAGGACACAUCUUCUUUAAAAGGAACGGAACUGGCCCCUCAAGCUAAGAAGGAUUACUCCUCCAGAGCUCAUUCCUGGAUAAUAAACUCCAUCACCUACCAGGACGUAUCAGACUGUGUUUAGGAGCAUCCUACAAGAAUUGCUAGAACGAGAAUUACAAGAAGCUGAUAUUGACGUGGCGCCCUCUGCUCGGCUAAAACAAGAUACCCGAAUGAGACUUGCCCACAUGUAAGUGGAUGGGUAUAUUUUGCAUUAUAAUUAAGGGGUCAGGCCAGAACAUAAGCCAAAGUGAAACACGAAUGGCCAGGGAAGGUUUAAAUGAAGUCUAGAGGGCCAGACACGCAGAUAUGCCGAGUCAAGCCCUAGAAGGUCAGUUGGUCUCUGCUCACCUGUAUGUAGUGAGGCCAGAAAAAGGUAGAUUGGAAAGGCACAGAAACACAUAUUACCCAGGACCAAAGAGAGAGCAGGAUCCAGAAAUCAGUCAGAAAAUGAGGUUUUGGAAGGGACAGACGAAAAAUUAGUAGGGAGGCAGCCUCAAAAGUAGGAAUCAAGUCCCUGCCAAAGAACAGGGCUAAAUCACAAGGUAAGGGUCCACGCAAGGACUCUAGGGUCAGAAAUCUAGGCAAAGAGUGACCUGCAAGGGAUCACAGCACAGGAAAGUGAUUGGCAAUGGCAAAGGCCAAAAAGGAGCUGGGGGAAAUGGGAAGGUGACAGGGAUCCAACCACCCACAGGUCAACCUGCUUUCAUAUAAACUUUAAAAAAUUUUUUCUGCGUUUUAAUUAAUUUAUUUAUUUUGAACAUUGUUUCUAAAUUUUUAGGAUCAAAUUCUCUCCUUCUACCAUGCCUACUGAGAAAGUAAGCAAAAUGAUAUAAAUUAUACAUAUGAAAUCAGGCAAAAAAGAUUUUUAUAUUGGCUAUAUUUCCCCAAAAAAGCAAGAAAAUAUAAAUGAGAAAAUUAUACUUCAAUUUUCACUCAGAGUUCAUCAGUUUUCUCUUUGGAAGUGGAUUGCAUUUUUUUCAUCAUGAAUCUUUUGGAAUUGUCUU
rnacentral:lncRNA from 1 species